CGGAACCCGGAGCCCCGCGGGCCUUGGGGGUCGGGCUUGUGGCGCCAGGGCCGGCAGUUACCGUCUCUUGCUCCGUGAGGGCGACAAAUGGGAAGUGGUUGAGCCUGACAGGUGAGGGUAUAAGAAGGAAGCAGUCUACAAAUCAGAAAAUAUUCCUCCCCAGAACUCCACCAUACUGGCACCUUGAUCUUGGAUUUCCAGGCUCCAGAAUUCUUAUGAAGCACUAUUGUCUACAUCAUCCUACUGAAUGAAGACCUGAAUGCCUGAGACACUUACUCCAAGCUUCGUGAUCUUUAAGGACUUGACAGGCUUCCGGCCUGCCACAUGGAUGAUGCUCAACUCCCUGCUGAGCUCUCUGUUAGGGUACCAUGGCGCUGAAGACUGCAUCUUCUCAGGACCAUCAGCCUACAAAUAGCAACUCUGAGGCACUGGUACGCUUGUUGAAGCAGCUAUCCCUCAUCACAUGUCUUUGCUUAUAUUCCUGACAUUUAUAGAAGUUAUUACAUGGUUUUAUGAUGAGAGAUUCCUUUCCAGGUCAUAUUUGAAGAAGCUUAUCUUGUUUCACUCAUUUGAAAAUGCUUUUAGUUAUAAUUUUUCAUCACUGUCCUUUGUUCAGCACAAUAGCUGUCUUUGAAAAUCUCAUCAUCUGGGGAUGAUUUAAGAGGAAAGUAAGGGAGAUGGCUUGGAACUAUUUCAAAUCAUGUCACCGUAUGUAUUUACUUCUUCCUGAGCUGGGUAAAUAACUAUGGGUUUAGCACCAACAGUAUCUGUCUUAUAAGAUGCUUGCUUCUUCCCACUUGGAUAUUCAACUUGGUGUCUGAGGUUAUUAAAAUGAAGCUUUAAGUCUGA